AAAGGAAAAAAUAUUGAAAUAUUAUCUAAAUGAAGUAUUUUUAUAAAAUUAUUUAUUUAAGUUCGUUUAAAGAUGACUGAUUUAGUUAUGUUAUUAAAUCAAAAUAGGCGUCUUUCGGGGGAUUUGAAUUUUUUCGACUUUAAGAUUAACAACAAAUAUUAACAAGUAAAUAAGCACAAUAAAUUAGAGAGGGAAAGAGACUCGGGCCCAAAUCUGGUUUUCCUGUUCGCCUGGGCCAGUAUUUGGGCCUAAUUUUUGUUUUGGGACCAAAGGCCCAAUAUUUAGUACCUGUCUUAAACUAAUCUUCGAAAAUUGCUUUUUGUGGGCCUUUGGCCCAAUUUUUGUCUCCUUGUACCUGUCCUAAUAACUAACAAAUAAUAAUAAUAGAAGUAAAAAGGGCUUAGGCCCAGACAACAAAAAUGCAAAUUCUUGCGGAAGAGCGGGACUUUUUUAGGCCCAUCUUCUCAUUUUUCGUAUACAUUAGGUAUAUACUAGUGCAUAAGAUCUUGUAUCAACUCCAAAUCUUGUUUCGUCAAAUUUCGGGGGGACCGUCUUCAAUUUGCUAUGGUUGGUUGACUCGAUAACGAUGUUGGGUUUCAAUCCGACUCCAAAUGCAAGGGAAGAGUCUUGUGGACUCAAGGCAAGUAUCACAUACAAAAAGAAUACAACAAAGAUUAGUAUUCACACUUAAAGGGCGAACCAUGAAUUAUUUUAACAAAAUUCGCAACUAUAUACAAAUAAAAAAAAAUAAAAAGAGUUGAGGAAAAG
rnacentral:lncRNA from 1 species